rnacentral:miRNA from 1 species
CCUGAGCAGCGCCUGGCACCUAGUAAGUGCUCAGUAAAUCCAUGUGGGCUGGCUACAGGAGUGCUGUGGUUGUGCGGGGGG